rnacentral:sRNA from 1 species
UCAUACUGAGAAGGUCUAAAAGCAAAUAAUUUUUUCAUUCUUUUCCACUUGAGUCAGUUUUUCACAGCAUGUACUGUGAUGGCAAUAGCAUUCCUAUUGAGAAAUUAUGAUUUAAAAGCUGCUUCUUUCUCUUUAAAACAAUAGUCAAGUUGAAUCAUUUUUGUUAAGAUUUUUGUUGUCAAGUUAGUGCCAGAGUCACAAGUACAUUUACGUAGUAUUUUGAUUUGCAUAUGGUUUGUUUUGCUAUGACCUUUGUCAACUCUAGUUGUUUUUUUAAAGUAAAUAAUGUCUAUUAUUCUUAAAGUAGUUUUAUUCUGUUUUCGUUUUUACCUACCCUUAUCGAAAUCACCUUCUUGUAAGUUUGUCAAUGUCAGUGUCACUUUUGAGUAGAGGGUCACUAUAGUAUAAAAGAUACCUUCUCCCUCUACUGGCCAUUCUUGGAAAAUGAUCUAGCCAUUUAUAAACACUUGGUUAACAUCAUUGUCAGUUGUAUAUGAGGAUGGAUUCUGGGUUUCCAGGACUGCCAAUCACUGGAAAUAAUCAUGAAAUGUUGAGAAGAAAUUCAGAGUUAGACAAUGGUAAGUAGGUGUAACCUACCAAAAAUAUGAAAAACAGAGACUUAUAAUUCUAAAACCAAUAAAUUAGGGUUUUUAAAAGGGGAUUCAAUUUAAAAUAUAUGUUUACAUUGAUUUACUUUCUUUUGGAAAAUAUUUCUGGGAAAUACAUAUAUUCAGUGGAAAAUUAGAAAUAAGAAAGAAAGAAGGAAAUACAUUUAGACUCAUUUCCUGCUGCCAGAGAUUGUUUCUUAAAUUCUUCCAUGCUUAUAACAGUGUUCAAAAUAUUGUUUUUCGUAUGAACAUUGAAAAAUACUUAUGAACCACGUAAAUUGAGAGCAGAGGCAGAAAUGUGCCUCUUCUAUGGUUCCUAAGAGCAUGGGUCCUUAAUUUUGUAAAUCAAAAUAGUUAAUAAUAAUUGGUCAUUGAGAAAAGAAUUCACCUAGGUAGAUGAGUAACUGUGCAAUCAGGCAGAGUUUAAAAAUGUGAAGAUAUGUUUUUAAAUUGUAUACAAAUUUACCUAACAUGAUAUUUUUCUGCAUGCAUAUCUUUUUUUCUUUAUUUAAGAGAGUAACUAUAUAAUAUAGCUUAUUACAUUUUAGGCAGUGUACUUCAUCUCAUCCUUACAGGUAAAAGUGGGUAAUGAUAAAACUAUAGAGAAAUAACUUGACAUAAUUUCACAGUUUGACCCCCAAGGCUCACAUUUAACUUGUGCUGUGCAAACCACUGCCAUAUGUGAGAAGGCCACUAGGGUUUUGAAGAUAAGCAUAGUGAUCAUGCAGGAAGCAUGAUUCUUCAGGGCAUUUGAAUAGAGGAGCAGAGGAAUGACUUAAUUCAGUACUGGGCACAUGGUGCAGACUCCAAAGCCUGUUUCCUUCCACAUGCCUCCUGCCAGUGCUUUGCCGUCAUGUUGUUGACUGGAAGCUUUCGCUCUCUUAACCCAGACACUGCCAAAUGAGUUUUGUUUUCAGGAGGUCUGAAUUAGAAUCAAGAGGAAAAGUAGUGCAAGGGAGAGGAAGGUUAUUCUCUACUUUGAUUUUGACUCUGACUGUAGAAUAAGGAUGCCUAUUUCCAACAGAGAAAAAUCAAAACCAUUAUGACUGAUUUCAUGGCAUUGAAAUCACCCAUGUUAUAACUAAAAAUAAAGUCCUCUAACAGCCUUCAGCAAAGAUACCUAGUUAACAAGACAAUUAACUGAGAUUCUGUUUUUACUGUAAAGCUUAAUCUUUUCUGUUAAGGCCUUCAUUAAAACUGCAUUUGCUGGGAUUCUUUUCCUUUUAAUGUUAGGUAUGAAAAUUUAAAUAUGCUAGGGGCUAUAGAAAAGACAGUCAAAAUAGAGGAAAAAUACAGUUUUUGAAUUUGUCAACUUCUAUUUUUUGUCAUGAACAAUGACUGAAUGACAUCUUCUAAGAAGUAAAAACUUAUUUUUAUUUACCUUCUAUGGAGUGUUUAUUCUGGUCAAUAUACUAAUGAGCAUGCUAUCUAAAUGAUACAUAUAUAAUAUAAAUAUUUUCACCUUUUUAUGUCUGAGCAAACUGAGGCUCAAAGGGGUUAAUUAACAUGUUGUGGCCACACUAGUUAAGCCAGGGAUUCCAAACUUCAGUCUGUAUGAAUCCAAAGCACGUACUAUUUUCUCUGUAUGCUACUACCUACCUUUAUAUAGUCAGUGAGUUGAAAAUUUUCUGUAGAAUUCAAACCAAACUAUUUCAGGUUGGAAAAAGUAGGCAUUAAAAACUUGAGGUUUUCUACUUUUUUCAUAUAUUUAACUUGAUGAUUUUUUUUUCUCAGUAGUUCAAAAUGAAAUAAUUGUCUUUCCAGAGAACACAGAAGACAAUAUGAAAAAUGGAAUGAAGAAAACAGAAAUCAGUGUAGGAGGUGUUGCCAAAAAUAACAACAUUGAUAUAGAAGUUGAGAGACCAUCAAACUCUCAGGCACAUGAAACUGAUACUGCUAUAAGUUACAAGGAAAACAAUCUAGCAGCUUCAUCAGUACCAGAUCAAAAACUGAAUCAACCCAGUGCAGAAAAGACAAAAAUGCAAGAUGCAGCAAUUCAGACAACCCCUUCUUGUAACAGUUUUGAUGGGAAACACCAAGAUCAUAAUUUGUCUGACUCCAAAGUUGAAGAAAGUGUGCAAACUUCAAAUAACAACAUAUCAACUCAACACUCAUCCUUAAGUUCACAAGAUUCUGUAGAUACCUCAGAGGAAUUCAGGAGUCAAGGCACCCUAAUUAUACAUUCAGAAGAUCCACUUACCGUAAAAGAUCCAAUUUGUGCACAUGAUAAUGAUGAUCUUUUGCCUCCUAUAGAUAGGAUUGACAAAAAUUCAGCUGCUUCUUACCUAAAGAAUUACCCACUUUAUAGACAGGACUACAAUCCCAAGCCAAAACCUUCAAAUGAAAUUACACGAGAGUAUAUACCCAAAAUUGGCAUGACUACUUAUAAAAUAGUGCCUCCCAAAUCCUUGGAAAUAUCGAAAGACUGGCAAUCAGAAACCAUAGAGUAUAAAGAUGAUCAGGACAUGCAUGCUUUAGGGAAAAAGCACACUCAUGAGAAUGUGAAAGAAACUGCCAUCCAAACAGAAGAUUCUGCUAUUUCUGAAAGCCCAAAAGGGCCACUGCCAAACCUUAAACCGAAGCCUAACCUGAGAACAGAGCAUCAAGUGCACAGUUCUGUGAGCUCACCUGAUGGUGCCAUGGUUAGUCCUCUGAAACCUAGUCCCAAAAUGACAAGAGACACUGGCACAGCUCCUUUUGCACCAAAUUUGGAAGACAUAAACAAUAUUUUGGAAUCAAAAUUUAAAUCUCGGGCUUCAAAUCCCCAGGCCAAACCCAGCUCUUUUUUUUUGCAGAUGCAGAAGAGAGUAUCGGGUCACUAUGUGACAUCUGCAGCUGCCAAGAGUGUCCAUGCUGCCCCUAUUCCUGCUCCAAAAGAACUGACAAAUAAAGAGGCAGAAAGGGAUAUGCUGCCUUCUCUGGAGCAGACUCUUUCUCCCUUAAGUAAAACGCCUCACUCUGUUCCACAACCCCUUGUUGAAAAAACUGAUGAUGAUGUCAUCGGUCAGGCUCCUGCUGAAGCCUCCCCUCCUCCCAUAGCUCCGAAACCUGCGACAAUUCCUGCUAGUCAGGUAUCCACACAAAAUCUGAAGACUUUGAAAACUUUUGGAGCCCCACGACCAUACUCAAAUUCUGGUCCUUCACCGUUUGCUCUUGCUGUAGUGAAGAGGUCACAGUCUUUCAGUAAAGAGCGCACCGAGUCACCUAGUGCCAGUGCAUCCGUCCAACCUCCAGCCAACACAGAAGAAGGGAAGACUCAUUCUGUAAAUAAAUUUGUAGACAUCCCACAACUUGGUGUGUCUGAUAAGGAAAAUAACUCUGCACAUAAUGAACAGAAUUCCCAAAUACCAACUCCAACUGAUUGCCCAUCAUUCACUGUUAUGAGACAAAGUUCUUUAACAUUCCAAAGCUCUGACCCAGAACAGAUGCGACAGAGUUUGCUGACUGCAAUCCGUUCAGGAGAGGCUGCUGCCAAAUUGAAAAGGGUUACCAUUCCAUCAAAUACAAUAUCUGUGAAUGGAAGGUCAAGACUCAGCCAUUCCAUGUCCCCUGAUGCCCGGGACGGCCGUUAAAUGUUACCCUGCCACACCACUGCACUUCACUUCCACUUCAGACCAACUUCAUACUAAUGGAACAUUUUGGCAAAUGUAUAUUCAGAUGUACACUAAUAUAUUAUCUUUUAAAAUAUUAGAAUUUG